CUCCCUGUGGUCUAGCGGUACGAUGCCUCCCUGUAGAGGAGGAGACGCACGUUCGAGUCGUGCCGGGGAGA
rnacentral:tRNA from 1 species